CUACGGGAGGCUCCAGUGAGGAAUAUUGCACAAUGGGGGGAACCCUGAUGCAGCAACGCCGCGUGGAGGAUGACGCAUUUCGGUGUGUAAACUCCUUUUAUAUGUCAAGAAAAUGACGGUAGCAUAUGAAUAAGCACCGGCUAACUCCGUGCCAGCAGCCGCGGUAAUACGGAGGGUGCAAGCGUUACUCGGAAUCACUGGGCGUAAAGGACGCGUAGGCGGGUUGGAAAGUCAGGUGUGAAAUCCUACAGCUUAACUGUAGAACUGCACUUGAAACUUCUAAUCUAGAGUAUGGGAGGGGGAGAUGGAAUUAGUGGUGUAGGGGUAAAAUCCGUAGAUAUCACUAGGAAUACCGAAAGCGAAGGCGAUCUCCUGGAACAUUGCUGACGCUAAGGCGUGAAAGCGUGGGGAGCAAACAGGAUUAGAUACCCUAGUAGUC
rnacentral:rRNA from 1 species